CAAUUAUACAUUAUCGUAACAUGAUUUGUUUUGAUUAAAAAAAAGAGUAGGUUUCGAAUUUCGAAUCGUGCGAAUCUAGGCAUUUUUUCGUGUGGCUUGUUCAGCCAAGAGUAUUGAUCACACGCGUUAGUCCCAACCGCGUCGAUUGUGCGUUUGCGCAUGCAGAUCCAUAAACACAGCCAUGCACCACUCCGUCCAUACGUCAGCAAACUGGGUCGUAUCGACCUGAUUCUAACACAUAAGCUAAAAAAAUUAUUUUGAGAUAAAAAAAAAAAAGGACUUAAAUUAGCAAAUAUGGCAAUCGUGAAAGAACAAGGACCAUUGACGUUUUUGGCAUUCCCUCAACUUGUGCAACCAGAUCAAUACUAGAAAGAAACCAAGAUAUAUGGUGUGAUUGUCCUUAGGG